rnacentral:piRNA from 1 species
UAAUUGAGAAAAAUGCCUUACAGCUGGAUC